rnacentral:rRNA from 1 species
CGGACGGGUGAGUAACGCGUGGGUAACUAACCUUUAUCAGGGGGAUAACAUUGGGAAACCAGUGCUAAUACCGCAUAACACUUUAACAUCACAUGAUGUAGAAGUAAAAGGAGUAAUCCGGAUAAAGACAGACCCGCGUCUGAUUAGCUAGUUGGAGAGGUAAAAGCUCACCAAGGCGACGAUCAGUAGCCGACCUGAGAGGGUGAUCGGCCACAUUGGGACUGAGACACGGCCCAAACUCCUACGGGAGGCAGCAGUGGGGAAUAUUGCACAAUGGGCGAAAGCCUGAUGCAGCAACGCCGCGUGAAGGAAGAAGGUUUUCGGAUUGUAAACUUCUACCGAUGGGGAAGAAAGAAAUGACGGUACCCAAGUAAGAAGCCCCGGCUAACUACGUGCCAGCAGCCGCGGUAAUACGUAGGGGGCAAGCGUUAUCCGGAAUGACUGGGUGUAAAGGGUGCGUAGGCGGUCAGAUAAGUCAGAUGUGAAAGACAUAAGCUCAACUUAUGGUGUGCAUUUAAAACUAUGUGACUAGAGUACAGGAGAGGUAAGUGGAAUUCCUAGUGUAGCGGUGAAAUGCGUAGAUAUUAGGAAGAACACCAGUGGCGAAGGCGGCUUACUGGACUGAAACUGACGCUGAGGCACGAAAGCGUAGGGAGCAAACAGGAUUAGAUACCCUGGUAGUCUACGCUGUAAACGAUGAAUGCUAGGUGUUGGCGUGAGAACGUCGGUGCCGUAGUUAACACAAUAAGCAUUCCACCUGGGGAGUACGAUCGCAAGAUUGAAACUCAAAGGAAUUGACGGGGGCCCGCACAAGCGGUGGAGUAUGUGGUUUAAUUCGAAG